UCUCUGCUGCUGCUGCUGGAUUUCUGUUGAUUGUUGUUGCAGUCGUGAUGUGCAUCUACAGGAAACAUGAAAAAACAGUCCAGACCCCGGAGGAAAACACUGAUUCAGCAGUGUGUAAUCCAACAACACCAAAAACAAGAUUCCUUAGAAAGAAAGAAGCUUUGUAUGAAAAUGUCCCUGAAAAAUGAUGAUCAAAUACUGGAAUUGAUGUUAGAGCUCAUACGGUCCCUGACUCACAACUUUUGGCUGUUUUGCUUUUGCUUUGUAUUACAUUGUUUGAUCACACUUAAUGUUUGUUUUUUGGGGUUUUUUUGUCAUUAUGUCUGAAAUGUUGUUGCUCCAUAUUAGUACCGUAAUUUAUUGGUUCACAACAGUACAGUAUCCAGAAACUAAAAUAAACGUUCUGUUUGUAGCUUAACAUCACAUGGAAAUGUAUUACACUUUUUGGUAACACUUUAUAAUAAGGUUCAUUUGUUAAUGUAUUAACUAACAUGAGCUAACA